rnacentral:pre_miRNA from 1 species
UUAAUCUUUGAAGUUUAUAUUUUAAUUUUCAAAAGGUCCUUGCUGUUAAAAUUCAUUAACUAACGAAGUUAAAAAAUUUAACGGAAGAAACCUUUUGGGAAUUAAAAUGUAAACUUCAGAGACUUU